rnacentral:antisense_RNA from 1 species
CUUUAUGGUGGGAGUUUCAGGGGGUGCUUGCACCCGCCGUUUCUUUGUUUACGGUAAGACCAACCUGUUUCUCCUGCCACCCAA